rnacentral:rRNA from 1 species
CGGGGUGCACCAGGCGCGAAACCUUUUCAAUGCACGCAAGUGUGAGAAGGGAAUUCCAAGUGCUCAAGUUUUACUUGGGCUUUUGCCAAGUGUAAAAAGCUUGGCGAAUAAGGGGUGGGUAAGACUGGUGCCAGCCGCCGCGGUAACACCAGCGCCUCGAGUGGGGAUCGCGAUUAUUGGGUCUAAAGCGUCCGUAGCAGGCUUUGUAAAUACUUUGUGAAAUCGGCAGGCAUAACCUGUCGGCGUGCAGAGUAGACUGCAGAGCUUGAGACCGGGAGAUGUCAGAAGUAUUCCUAGGGUACCGGUAAAAUGGGUUAAUCCUGGGAGGACUACCGAUGGCGAAGGCAUCUGACAAGAACGGUUCUGACUGUGAGGGACGAAAGCUAGGGGAGCAAAACGGAUUAGAUACCCGAGUAGUCCUAGCCGUAAACGCUGCGAGCAAGGUAUUGCGCCUCCCACGAGGAUGCGCAGUGUCGAAACGAAGGUGUUAAGCUCGCCACCAGGGAAGUACGGUCGCAAGGCUGAAACUUUAAGGAAUUGGCGGGGGAGCACAAGGGCAAUUGCG